AUGGAGUUGCCUGAGGGCUACCCGAAGGAGGACGCGGGCGGGGCAGUUCGUGAAGAGGAUGAGGACGGAAAUUGGGAUCACUACGGCCCAGAUCCGGAUCUGGAGGAUGCGUUUGAGGGCCUGAAUUUGCACGGAGAGGAAGAAGAAGACCUGGACUUGUCCGGGGAGGUUGAAGAUCUGAUAAGAGAAGUUCGUUGGCUGGCUCUGUUUAGGGUUCAUACGAUGAGGCCGUUUAGUCAUGCAGCUCUGUUAAACUCGAUGUGGAACGCUUGGUCGUGUGCUCAAGGAGUUACCUCUAACAUAAAGGGGCCAAAUCUUUUUUUGGCUCAAUGCCACUGUUUGGGGGACUGGAAAUGAGUAAUGGAAGGGGGGCCGUGGCAGUUUCGACGGGAUCCUGUGGUGCUAGUAGAGUAUGAUGGCUUCACAAAUGUCACUGAAUAUGCCCUGAAUAUGUAUCCAUUGUGG
rnacentral:rRNA from 1 species